rnacentral:rRNA from 1 species
UACGAAGGGGGCUAGCGUUGCUCGGAAUCACUGGGCGUAGAGCGCACGUAGGCGGAUUGUUAAGUCAGGGGUGAAAUCCUGGAGCUCAACUCCAGAACUGCCUUUGAUACUGGCGAUCUUGAGUCCGGGAGAGGUGAGUGGAACUGCGAGUGUAGAGGUGAAAUGCGCAGAUAUCAGGAAGAACACCCGUGGCGAAGGCGGCUCUCUGGGACGGUACUGACGCUGAGACGCGAAAGCGUGGGGAGCGAACAGG